rnacentral:rRNA from 1 species
CAGUUCGGAUCGCAGGCUGCAACUCGCCUGCGUGAAGUUGGAAUUGCUAGUAAUCGCGGAUCAGCAUGCCGCGGUGAAUACGUUCCCGGGCCUUGUACACACCGCCCGUCACACCAUGGGAGUUUGGAAUGCCCGAAGCCGGUGACCUAACCGAAAGGGAGGAGCCGUCGAAGGCAGGCUUGAUAACUGGGGUGAAGUCGUAACAAGGUACC